AACGAACGCUGGCGGCAGGCUUAACACAUGCAAGUCGAACGCCCCGCAAGGGAGUGGCAGACGGGUGAGUAACGCGUGGGAAUCUACCCAAUUCUUCGGAACAACUGAGGGAAACUUCAGCUAAUACCGGACACGCCCUACGGGGGAAAGAUUUAUCGGAAUUGGAUGAGCCCGCGUUGGAUUAGCUAGUUGGUGAGGUAAUGGCUCACCAAGGCGACGAUCCAUAGCUGGUCCGAGAGGAUGAUCAGCCACACUGGGACUGAGACACGGCCCAGACUCCUACGGGAGGCAGCAGUGGGGAAUAUUGGACAAUGGGCGCAAGCCUGAUCCAGCCAUGCCGCGUGAGUGAUGAAGGCCUUAGGGUUGUAAAGCUCUUUCAGUAGGGAAGAUAAUGACGGUACCUACAG
rnacentral:rRNA from 1 species